UACGAAGGGGGCUAGCGUUGCUCGGAAUCACUGGGCGUAAAGGGUGCGUAGGCGGGUCUUUAAGUCAGGGGUGAAAUCCUGGAGCUCAACUCCAGAACUGCCUUUGAUACUGAAGAUCUCGAGUCCGGGAGAGGUGAGUGGAACUGCGAGUGUAGAGGUGAAAUUCGUAGAUAUUCGCAAGAACACCAAUGGCGAAGGCGGCUCACUGGCCCGAUACUGACGCUGAGGCACGAAAGCGUGGGGAGCAAACAGG
rnacentral:rRNA from 1 species